GACGAACGCUGGCGGCGUGCCUAACACAUGCAAGUCGAGCGGAGCUAGUAGCAAUAUUAGCUUAGCGGCGGACGGGUGAGUAACGCGUGGGCAACCUGCCUUCUACAGGGGGAUAACACAGGGAAACUUGUGCUAAUACCGCAUAACAUACUUAAGGGACAUCCCUUGGGUAUCAAAGGAGCAAUCCGGUAGAAGAUGGGCCCGCGUCCGAUUAGCUAGUUGGAGGUGUAACGGACCACCAAGGCGACGAUCGGUAGCCGAACUGAGAGGUUGAUCGGCCACAUUGGGACUGAGACACGGCCCAGACUCCUACGGGAGGCAGCAGUGGGGAAUAUUGCGCAAUGGGGGAAACCCUGACGCAGCAACGCCGCGUGAAGGAUGAAGGUCUUCGGAUUGUAAACUUCUUUAGUCGGGGACGAAGAAAUGACGGUACCCGAAGAAUAAGCCACGGCUAACUACGUGCCAGCAGCCGCAGUAACAC
rnacentral:rRNA from 1 species